rnacentral:tRNA from 1 species
GGAGAGGUGCGAGAGUGGCUGAAUCGGCUCGCCUGGAAAGCGGGUGUGCAGCAAUGUACCGUGGGUUCGAAUCCCACCCUCUCCGCCA